rnacentral:rRNA from 1 species
UCCCUGAAAGAUGAUCAGGUUGAUAGGUCUGAGGUGGAAGUGUGGCGACACAUGGAGCUGACAGAUACUAAUCGAUCGAGGACUUAACCA